UGAGUAAAAAUAAUAACCCUU
ensembl:piRNA 21ur-2116 ncRNA